UCAGAGUUAUUUCCAAUUUAGCUGCAAAAGCCUUGGAAUCCUUGGCUAAAUCUGCGUUUAAAGAGGCUGUUUCCUGGUGGGGUGCUCGAGAUGAACUGAAGAAGCUUGAGAAUACCAUGACCUUUAUCCAGGCUCGAGUUCGUGAUGCUGAGAGGCGCCAAGAAGGAGACAAUAGUGAGCUGAUCAGGCUCUGGCUUCGGAAGCUGAAGCAAGUGCUGUACCGAGCUGAUGACUUGUUUGAUUAUGUCCUCACUCUGGAUCGCCAGAAUCCGCGGGUUGAGAGGAGCACGCUGGAAAAGGUAGGCGUCUUAUUCUCAAAGUCUAGUCCCUUUUAGAACAAUAGAAGAUUGGCUCAUGAGAUCAAGUCUAUUAGGAAAGAUCUGGAUGAAAUCAAGGCCAAUAUGGAUGGCUUGAACUUGUUGUUGGGCUGCCAUUGCCAAUGGAGCGUUUGAUAAGCAAUAGGCAGAAAGGAUCUUUUGUGAAAGUAGAAGAUGUCAUUGGUAGGGAACAUGAUAAAAACAAUAUUAUUGAGAUGAUUUUUGAUCCCAAAUUUGAUGAUGGGAAAAGGAUUACUGUGAUUCCAAUUGUCGGGUUUGGGGGACUCGGAAAAACCACUCUUGCUCAGCUGAUUUAUAAUGAUGAGAUUGUUAUGAAACAUUUUGAUCUUACUAAUUGGGUCUGUGUACCUGAGGUAGGUGAUCAAAGUACUGUAAUGAAGCGAGUUUAUCAAUCCAUCACCGGUGAUAAGGAUUCUGAUAGACUCCUGGUUGGUCAGAUUAAAUCAGGCAUCCAAGGAUCUUCUUGUCUUAGAUGACAUAUGGGAUGAAAAUCGGAAUAGUUGGUUGGAUCUCCUUAUGUUACUAGAAUGCGGUGCAAGUGGGAGUAGAGUUAUUGUAACAACACGCUCUGCCAAAUGUCGCAAAAGCUGUUGGUGCGAGAGGUUGAAAAACAUAUCAGCGGAAACUCUCUCUGUCCUUGAAACACUGGUAAUCGACAGUGAUGGUUUUGAAGAAGGGCUCUGUCAAAGUAUUGCUUGCCCUAACAACGCUUUAGAGUCUAACCAUUCGUCCCCCAGACUUACAGAAACUCCCAGAAGAAAUGGGCAACCUCUCCUUCCUUCGUGAGCUGAAACUCUUUACAGAAUCAGUACUAAGCCUUACCUCUUUACAGAAACUUUGUAUCUGGAAUUGUCCAGUUAUCCAAAAAAGAUAUGAGAUGCCGAAUGGCCAAGAUUGCCACCUUCUCCAACAUAUCCCCUGUGUUGAAAUUUGGAGUCCGAAGAAGCACCAAGCAUGAAAUUGCAAAACUUAUCAUAAUUGUGGGAAGAACGAUAGAGGGAGCUUUUCAACCUCAAUCCUGACCCCAAGUCACUACAAGAAACACAACCCGAAGUCACAGUUAUGCAGAGUUGUUGGACUCCAUGAAUUACCUGAGUUAUGUGCUGUGUUUUGUAUUAGCAUGCGUUGUAAUCAACCUCCUGUCCUCGACAGAAAGUAGAGGCAGUAAAACAAAAUCAAGUGCUGUUUCUCUCCCCAUAUUUGGAAACCUGUUCUGCCUUCCUAGCAUACUGCACUGCAUCUCAAUCUUCUCAGUCAAGUGCCAACAAUGGUAACUUGUUCAGUGGCCUAGGCAAGGAUCAUUUCUUGGCCAAGCGCUACUUAUAGGCGUUUUCUGUGCACUCGACCGUCAUUAGAAUUCAGUUGCUUGUUUGCCAGCUGCAUCAUCUGAAUGGAAGAUUUGCUACGAGCUCUGCAAUUCUCUAGUUUUCUACCAACAGACUCAACAAAAGUCGAAGCAUCCAAAGCAAUAAGAUUAAUGAUCUUCCCUAUGUUUAGAAGAGUGGCAGCAAAGGUGGUAAAACAGUGGAUAAGAGCUAAGCAGCAUUCACCACUUUCCUCAGUUUGUUAAUUGUUAUUGAUGCUUUUUAUAAAUAGAUCCAUAUAAUGUAUUAAUGUAUGCAGUUGAAGAGUCUACAGAGUUUGGAUAGCCAGCUUUUUCA